AGGAAGGGGGCUCCCCAGAAGCGUGACAACGGCUGGAGGUAUGAGAAACCCAUCCUGUCGGGGAGUUGGAAGGAAGCCAGCAGCCUUGAACCACAGGUAAACUGGCUUCAGAUUUUCUGCAAGAUUUUGAGAAAGAAAAUGACACAAUUAGAUCUGAGUUUUGAGACGGAAACUAUGGUGGCUGUUUAGAAGAUGGAUUGAAUGGGAGGUGGCCUGGUCUGUUGAUGCUGUUAUUAGUAUAACAGCAUAUCUGGGACUCGGGAGGCUUAUGAACAACAGACAUUCAUUUCUCACAGUUCUAGACCGGAGAUUUUGGGAGAGGAGUCAGAGAGAGAGCGCUGAGAGCUGUAAAGGGCCAGAUCACAAGGGCUGUGAAUGCCCUGUCUUGUUGAUGAAUUUGAUGCAAAAAACAGUGAGGAGCCGCUCAAGAGUUUUAUGAGAGAAGUUUGGAUGCCUGUGACGUUAAGGAGAUAGAAUCGAAAAUCAUCGAUGCCAACUAUUUGGAUGACUCUCCCUUAAAAUUUCAAUUCAAUUCGGUUUCGAAAAAUAGGCAGUGCAAUCACACCAUUUAAAAUACAAAAGGUGCUAAGGCUAUAUUGCAAAAAGCAUCUCUUCCCAACCCUCAUUUUCAGACUCUGGUCUCCAGCUUGGUCUCCAGCUUUCUUCUCUGGGGGAACCAAGUGCUCCAGUGUUCCCAGGGCCGUUGCAGGCCUAGGUCUGACUUGUGGCCCAUUGCUUUCGCAACUUGCCUUUUGCAGUUAACGGUAUAUCUUGGAAAUCAUUCCAUAUCAGUUCUUAAGGUACCUCUUAACUGCUAUUUAUGGCUAUCUAGUAUUCCAUUGUAUGACUAUUUCAUAAUUUGUUUACAUUUUUCACAGGUGCAAAUGUAUUGGGGGAGCUGAUUUUAGGGAUCUCUCCUUAACACCAAAAGUUUUCACAGGUCCCCAUGAAGAAGACUGUUGAUAUUACCGAAAAUGUCCUGAAUUCAGGAAUACUUUCAGGUGAAUUUGUACUUUAGCAUGUUAUUAACAUGUUAUUGAAACUGUGUAAAUGAGACAUAUCAUUUAUCCAGUCCAUAGACAGUACUCAGUGUUCAUAUGGAUCCAAAUACCCACCCUGUACUAAUUGGGUGUUGCCCCCUGGGUCCCUGCCCCUCAUUAUAAGACUUAGUGUCUGAGUGGUCUGAGGAGGGCGGGAAGCAGAGGUGGGAAUGCGGGAUGGUGCCUGGGUUUCUGAUGUCCUUCACUGGAAUGAUGAUACCAGGGGAGCUGCAGGUUUACGAAAGGGACAGGCAUAUGGUUUGGGCGUGUUGAGUUUACUGUGUCUCUGGAACAUGUGUGCUGUAUUUUAAGCUCUAUAGCAUUGUACUGGUGUGCGUGUGGAGAAGGCAAUGGCACCCCACUCCAGUACUCUUGAGUAGAAAAUCCUGUGGAUUGGAGGGGCCUGGUAGGCUGCAGUCCAUGGGGUCACUAAGAGUCUGAUACGACUGAGCAACUUCACUUUCACUUUUCACUUUCAUGCUCUGGAGAAGGAAAUGGCAACCCACUCCAGUGUUCUUGCCUGAAGAAUCCCAGGGACGGGGGAGCCUGAUGGGCUGCCGUCUAUGGGGUCGCACAGAGUCGGACACGACUGAAGUGACUUAGCAGCAGCAGCAGCUGUGUGUGUAUGUGUACGCACACACGCGCUCAGCUGCUCACUUGUGUUCAGCUCUUUGUGACCCCAUGGACUGUAGGGCGCCAGGCUUCUCUGUCCAUGGAAUUCUCCAGGCAGGAAUACUGGAGUGGCUAGCUAUUCCCUUCUCCAGAGGAUCUUCCAGACCAAGAGAUUGGACCUGCGUCUCCUGUGUCUCCUGCAUUGGCUUAAGGACUUACUUCUGACAAAUAGAAUGUGAUGGAGCGCUAGUGUGUGACCUCUGAGGCUGGGUCAUAAAGAACUCUGCAUUUCCACCUUGCUGUCUUUUGGAUCGCCCAUGCUGGGGGAUGCCAGCUGCCCUAUCCUGGGGCCACCCAAACAGCCUGCCAAGAGGCCCACACGGGGAGGAUAUGAGACCUCUGCCAAGAGCCAGCACCAACUCGUCUGCCAUAGGCAUGCUGCUACUGCUGCUGCUAAGUCGCUUCAGUUGUGUCUGACUCUGUGCGACCCCAUAGACGGCAGCCUACCAGGCUCCCCCAUCCCUGGGAUUCUCCAGGCAAGAACACUGGAGUGGGUUGCCAUUUCCUUCUUCAGUGCAUGAAAGUGAAAAGUGAAAGUGAGGUAGCUCAGUCGUGUCUGACUCUUAGCGACCCCAUGGACUACAGCCUACCAGGCUCUUCCGUCCAUGGGAUUUUCCAGGCAAGAGCACUGGAGUGAGGUGCCAUUGCCUUCUCCAGCCAUGGGCGUGACCCACCUGGAAAAGGAAUCCUCCAGCCUCAGUCCAGCCAGCAAGUGGCUUCAGCCCUCCAAGCUUCCAGUCUUCCAGCUGAGGCCCCAAACAUCGUGGAGCAGAGACAAUUCAUGUCCUCAGUUCCUGACCCGCAGACCUGGGAGAUGAUAAGUUAUCAUUGUUGUUUCAAGCCACUAUGUUUUGAGGUAAUUUGUUAGAGCUCAUGCCGUGAUGGCCGAUGAACAUAGAGCAUUAAGAGAACACAGAGAAUGGGGCAUUAGCUCAGUGAGAGAGGUCAAAGAGGCUUUCUGAAGGAAAGGAAAUUUACUGGGUCUUGGAGGGUGCAUAAGAAUUGUCUAAGAUGAUUGGAAGAGUAUUCCAGGCAUGGGGGACAGGACAGGUAAAGGCCACUGAGGCUUUAAAGAGCAUGGAGUGUGGGAAUGAGCUGCAUAUAUAACUUACCCUUCCAAAUAGGGUCCUAGACAGAUGGACUUGAUACCAGCUCUGCUCUAGAAUAACUAUAUUUGUUACAUGUUUCUUAUUGGCAAAUAUACUUAGCAUUCAGUGGGGGGGGGGGGUCUGACUUUUUAAUCCAUUGACCUUCAUAAAAAGAAUUUCUGAAGUUCAAGAGUCUCAGAAUACACACAGUUUGAUAUGAUUUUUUUAUCUUCUUUUUUAAAAUUUAUUUUACUUUUUGGUUGCACCAUGGGGAAUAUGGGAUGUUAGUUCCCUGACUAGGGGUUGAACCUCUGCCCCUGCAUUGGCAACUUGGAGUCUUAACCAUUGAACUGCCAGGGAAGUUCUGACAUAAUUUUUUUUUUUAACCAUUGGAAUACUCCUUUUUCUCAAAAGUGGUUUCUGAACAUAGAUAGGCAAGAGAAACAUGUGGGAACUUAAAAAAAAAUCAGAUUUCUGGGCCUCAACCCAGAACUGCUAAAUCUUAUCUGAGAAGGGUUCAGGAUUUAAUCCAAACUUCUCACUUUACAGAUAAGAACAAAAGACACAAGGGACAGAGUUGAGAUUCGAAUGCUGGUUGUGAUUUUUUAAAAAAUCUGUUUAUUUAUGGCCAUACUGGGUCUUUGUUGCAGUGUGGGCUUUUCUCUAGUUGUGGCGAGUGGGGGCUGCUCUUCUGGUUGCGGUGUGCCGGCUUCUCGUUGCAGUGGCUCCGCUUGUUGCAGGGCACAGGCCCUAGGGCGUGUGGUCUGCAAUAGUUGGGGAACGUGGGCUCAGCAGUUUUGGCUCCCGAGCUCUGGAGCACUGGCUCAGUAGUUGUCGCACGCGGCUCGCUUGCUCCACAGCAUGUGGGAUCUUCCCGGGGACUUUUUUCAGGCAAGAUCACUGGAGCAGGUUUCCAUUUCCUCCUCCAGGGGAUAUUCCUGACCCAGGGAUCGAAUCUGUAUCUCCUGCGUUGGCCGGCAGCUCCUUUACCGCUGAGCCAGCGGAGAAGCCUGGUUGUGACCUUGCUGCUGUGGUCCUCUGCUGCCACCAGAGUUUUUUUCUUUCUCAGCAUCAUGGCCAAUCCCAGCUGUUUGAUGGUUAAAUAUUAUGUGAGCGUCAGAGGUUUAGCCCAUGAGGUAGAUCUUGAUCUUCACAUUCCACCUCUCCAUGGUCCAUGACAAAAAAAAAAAAAAGAAAUUAAUAUACUAUCGCAUUUUUAUGUCUCUUACGUUAAAAUUGUUUUUUCCCUGGUAAGCGGUUAGGACUCUGUGCUUUCACCCCAUGGGUUUGACCACUGGCGGGGGGACCAAGAUCCUACAUGCUGUGUGGCACAGGCCAAAAAAAAGAUAUUUUUUUGCCCUAGUUUUUGCUCUUCCUCUCACCCACAUACAUUUUAAAAAGUGAGGGAGUUUCCUGGUGGUCCAGUGGUUAAGACUCUGAGCUCUCACUGUGGCGGACCCAGGUUCAAUCCCUGAUCUGGGCACUAAGAUCCCACCAGCCUUGCAUCAUGGCCAAAAAAGAAAUUGAGGUGUAAUUCCUAUACCACAAAAUUCACCAUCUUGAAGUGUACAGUUCCGUGGUUCCUAGCAUAAUCACAUAAAUGGAUUCGUACAACAUGUAACCUUUGGGUGUCUGGUUUCUUUCACUUGGCACCAUGCUUUCAAGGUUCAUCCUUGUUGUAAGUGUCAGUAGUUCAUUUUUAUGGCUAAAUACCAUUUCACUAAAUCACGUUUUGUAUAUCCACUCGUCUGCUAAUGAACAUCUGAAUAGUUGAUACUUUUUAGCUAUUAUGAAUAAUGCUGCGAUGAACAUUCAUAUUAUAUUUGUUUUGGUGUGGACAUAUGUUUAUUUAUUUUUAUUUUUUAUUGGAUUGUGGGAACCUUGUUCCCCAACCAGGGAUCGAACCCUGGCCCUCCGAAGUGAAAGCACAGAGUCUUAACCGCUGAACCACCAGGGGAUUCCCUGGACAUGCAUCUAUAAUUCUCUUCAGCAUAUGCCUGGGAAUGGAAUUGCUAGGUCAUUUGGUAACUUAGUUGAACUUUUUGAGGAACUGUUACUGUUUUUCAUAAUCACGUAUAUUUUUACACUGAGGAAAUAACACUUCUUUUUUAAAAAAUUGAAAGUCACAUACCCACAAGCGGGAAAAUAAUCAGAAAUAAUAUCAGUCAGAAGGACCACAAUUUAGAGACUAAGUAUGAAGGUACAUUGACAUUUAUCUCUUCUCCUUCCUGAAACACCACUGAAAUGAUAGUUUAAGUUUUUCUUUUAAGAUAUAAACCCUCGUGGAUAAAGAGGAGGAAAAGGAGAAAAACGACAACAAAAUGUUUUGAAGUUGAAAAGCCGAUGGACCAUGGCAAGUGCCUCAUAGCAGACCAAAGACAGCUAAGACCUAAGCUAGCAGUGGGGGAUCUCAGUAGAAAGCUGGCUGGUGCCACAGAUCCCAGAAAGGCUCAGAUGUUAGAGAGACCAGGUAUCCCUGAAAAUGGUAGGCAGUGAAAUGGGGUUGAACAAAGAGAUCAGGCAACAGUUUAUGAAAAAUUUUGUACACCCAUGUUCAUAGCAGUGUUAUUCACAAGUAUUAGCAGUAUUAUUCCACCAAAAGGUGGAAGCAACCCAAAUAUCCAUUGGCAGAUAAUGCAUAAACAAAAUGUGGUACUUAUAUGCAAUGGAAUAUUUUCAGCCUUGAAAAGGAAGGAAAUUAUGACACCUGCUACAACAUGGACAUAUCUUGAGGGCAUUAUGUUAAGGGAAAUAUAGCAGCCACAAAAGGGCAGAUACUGUGUGAUUCCACUUCGCUGAGUUACUUCAGAGUCUCAAAUGGAGAUGGGAAGUAGGAUGGUGGUUGGCAGGGGCUGGGGGGAGGAGGAAUCGGGAGUUUAGCAGGGGCAGAGUGUGAGUUUUGCAAGAUGAAGGGUUCUGGAGAUGGGCUGCACAAUAGUGUGAAUGGAUCUGACACUAGUGAACUGUAUGCUGGUUAAGAUGAUGCAUUUUAUGUUAAGGGUAUUUUACCACAGUUAAAGUUGAUAAAGAAACAGAUUCUUAGUUCCCCUUCCUCAUCCUGAGCAAGAUGACUGUCCCUCCAGCAAUCCAGGCUGAAGAUGUGAUGCUGACUGUCUGGAGAGGUAUAGCAAGAGGAAGUCUGAGCCAGAGGGUGUAACACAGCUGAGGGUACGGGGUCUAACAGGGCAGGGGAGACCUCCAGGCGGCCCUCUCCCUUCAUUUGCAUUUUUUAGUGUUGGAAGCUAAGACUGUGACACCCACACCCUCUCUGAUGAUUCAUGGAGUCCUCUCUGGAUUCCAGGGCUUUCCUGGUGGCUCAGAUGGCUAAACAAAAAUUUGCCUGCAAUGCAGGAGACCUGAGUUCGCUUCCUGGAUCAGGAAGAUCCCCUGGGGAAGGGAAUGGCUACCCACUCUAAUAUUCUUAGUUGGAGAAUUUCAUGGACAGAGGAGCCUCCAACAGGACUUGAGUGACUAACAUUUUCACUUUCUCUUUUUUCUGGAUUAACUGACUGGCUUAAGAGAAAGAUCUUUGGAUACUGACAUAUAAACAGAGACCUAAAAGGUCAUACCAACCUUUGACCAUAAGAGACAGGAUCCAAAGCAACAAAGAGAAAAAAAAAAAAAGACUUUGGGAGGGGUAGAAGCAGAAGAAAAUCUUAGAGAAAAAAAUUAAUAUUGUUAGUUGUUGGAUAAAUAAGAUUGAUAUUUCAUCCUUGAAAUAAAUACAAAAGACCAUGUUAAAAGAACAUUCAGAGAACCCCCUUUUUGGGGCUCUUAAAAAUUAAAACUAUGGUAUUGAAAAUGAAAAAUUCAGCAGAAAUGUUGGAAAGUAGGUGGAAAAAAAUCUGUAGAACAAAUGACAAGCGAAGUGAAAGUUGGUCAGUCUUGUCCGACCCUUUGCAACCCCAUGGACUAUACAGUCCAUGGAAUUCUCCAGGCCAGAAAACGAGUGGGUAGCCUUUCCCUUCUCCAGGGGAUCUUCCCAACCCAGGGAUGGAACCCAGGUCUCCCACAUUGCAGGUGGAUUCUUUACCAGCUGACCCACAAUGGAAGCCCUAUGAAUAAGAAAGACACACACACACAAUAAGUAAAUUCAAGGAUCCAUUUAGGAGACUGAUCCCACAUCAAAAAAUUAGACAGGAAGAAAGUAUGAAAAUAAGCCUCUAGAAAAAUUGACAGGAUUGAAGAAACUAAAUUUCUAAGUAGGAACACCCCAAGUGUGAUUUGAUACACUGAAUUAAAAUUAACUCAUAUGAAAACAGUCUUGAAAUUUUAGAAUGCAGAAGCCAAAGCUAAGAUCCUGCAAGUUUAUAGAAAGAAAAGGAAAUCAGAAUGACUUCAGACUUUUCAACAACAUUACUGAAAACUAGAAGACAAUAAUAAAGCAAUAAUUUCAAAAUCUGGAGGAGAUAUGCUUACAUCAAAUCAUUAUGUUGUACACCUAAAACUAAUGCAGUGUUGUAUGUCAGUUACAACACAAUUUUUAAAAAAGCAGUCUUUCCAUGGAAAAGCAUGAUAUUAAUACACCUUACUGAAAAGCUAUUAUUUAAAAAGAUUCAUUGUGAAAUUUUUUUAAAUUCUGAGAAAAGAUGGUUGCAAAUCUAGAAUUCUGUACUUUGCCAAACCAUCAGUCCUGUUAGGGUAAAAGACAUUUUCAGGUAUGCAGAGUAGCUGAAGUGUGUGUGCUCAGUCAUGUCUGAUUCUGUGACCCCAUGGACUAUAAACCACCAGGCUCUUCUGUCCAUGGAAUUCUCCAGGCAAGUAUACUGGAGUGGGUUGUCAUUUCUUUCUCCAGGGGAUCUUCCCAACUCAGGGAUCGAACCCGAGUCUCUUGCACCUCCUACAUUGGCAGGCAGAUUCUUUACCACUGUGCCACCUGGGAAGCCCUCAGGUAUGUGAAGCUGCAGAAAAAUUAUCUUCCUGGCACACUUUCCCAGGAAGCUGUUGGAGGAGAGGCUUCAAUGAAAGGAGGAAAUAAUCCAAGGGAGAGGAAACACAGGACUCAGGGACAGGAGGAGGGGAGAGAGGUGAAAGGUGUCCCAGAAGAAGCUGUGUCCCAGCCUACAGCAAGCCACCUAGAGUGUGCCUGACAGGCUACAGGACAGAUGGCCCCAAUUCGAUUAGGCUUAUCCAUUACCUUUGGGGAUUGAUUUUGUGAUUGGUAGCUGGAAAACUAGACAAACAAAACCUUGUUAAUUUGACAAUUAACUCCAAGAAAGAAAAUAUAAUCAUAGUCUUAUCAAUGGGCUCAGCUGUAAAUAAUAUUGGUAUAAUAAUAAUGUUAUAAACGGGGCUUCCCAAGUGGCUCAGACAGUAAAGAAUCAGCCUACAAUGCAGGAAACCCAGGCUUGAUCCCUGAAUCAGGAAGAUCCCCUGGAGAAGGGAAUGGCAACCCCCUCCAGUAUUCUUGGCUGGAGCCUGAGCGGCUAUAGUCCAUGGGUCACGAAGAGUCAGACAUAACUGAGCCAUUAUCACAAUGUUAUAAACACUGAAUUCUGCUCUGACCAAACAUUAGGAUAUAAUUUUUUUAGGGAGAAUAGGGGAAGGGGAAGAGGUGUCUGUGUGUGUGUGGAUUGAGGCUUAAGAGUUAAAUUCUCAUUUUCUGUUUUUAGUACCGAAAACUGAACAAAAUCAAGAAAAAGAGGCACAAGCAUUCUGUUUAGGAACAGGAGGUACAUACCAGAAGGGUCGACCAAAAGACUUGAAAAUGACUGAAUCUGAGAUGCGGGUCGAGAGUGUAAUGAGGUGGGAUUGCUUUUCUUUCAGGAUUAGUCUUCAAGUAUUUGAUUUUUAAAAUGAUGUCUAUGUCUAACUUGAUAAAAAUAAAACAUUAAUUAAAUCGAAGGCCAGGAGCAGGAGCAAUGAAAGAGAUUUAGAUGAGGCGAUAGAACAUUUUGUCCUUUUGCAUUUUAAAUUAGGGACAGGGCAUGUCAAACUAUAUAAUGUGUGCAACUCAUAAUAAAAGAUACAGUUAGGAUUUAUAUGGGACCAAUUACAGAGCAAAGACGAGGAGAGACAGAUGAUGAGAGAGAGGGAGUGAUAGAGAAAGAAAGAAUGGGAGGGAGAGAGAGAAAUGGAUGCUAAGACACGGGAAGACAGAGACACAGAAAAAUACACCCGGAUGCACAUACGCAAGCCAGACAUGUGAAGCAAUCCAACAGGAAGAAACCCACAAGAGCACAGCUGGAGUGUACACCCCAAUGCGCACACACCCAAGUCAGGACAGAAACCCAAGUCUUUGUAGUAAUAUCUCAAAUUUAGAUUAAAUGGCACAGAAUUGGAUUAUUCAGAGGAGGCAAUGACAACCCACUCCAGUAUUCUUGCCUGGAAAAAUCCAAUGGACAGAGGAGCCUGGUGGGCUGCCGUCUAUGGAGUCGCACAGAGUUGGACACUAAUGAAGCAACUUAGCAGCAGCAAUUGGAUUAUUACCACUAAACAUCACUUCCACCACCACCAUGAAACUGACCCCUCUGCUUUCAAGACUCAGUUGUAGACUCUUCCUCUUAGGAGCCUUCCUGGCCGCACCAUUCUGGAGCCAUUGUUCUGUCUCCUCAAUUUCCAGAGAAAGAAAGUCUUGUUUUACCACUUAUUUGGGGGGAAAAUUACAAAUGGCCUGGUGACAUUCUAACAUAGCUGUGUUGAGCGGUUGCCGUUUCACUUUUGAGGCCGUUUGGCUUUCCAGUGUUUAUGUGUUGCUCUUCAACUUGGUUAUAAGCAUGUGGUGGACGGAGGAACCAAACCUUCCUCACUGAAGAAACCGCCACCAGCCCAGCUUCCAGGGAGGCUUUGGAUCCGAAUUCCUUCUCUGCCAUUUACUUGCUGUGUGACUUUGGGCAGGUUGCUUAUCUCUGUGUCAGGGUCCUAGUCUGUAAAAUAGAGCUGGUAUAUGGUUGAAUUAUAUGAAAUUCCCAAGAUUGCACCAUAUUUGACCAACAAAAAUGGCAGUUGUACAUGGUUCAGCCCAAUAAAACCACAGCUGCUUAGGUGGCAUGCAGAUUAAACACGGUGCCUGUUGAAUUGCAAGCAAGCACCAUCCUGCUGCAAGAAAAGUGGCCCUGGUAGUCAGCCACUCAGACCUUGGGGAGCAAAAGCAACAGCCUUGGAAUGCAGAGCAACCAAGUAGAAAGAGCAGGAGCCUGGCCCCUGAUACCCUGGAGCCUCCAGAUAUGCUCUGAAUUGCUUAUGUCUAGAUGCUUGUAUGAGCAAGAGAUAGCCUCCCAUUUCAGUAAAACCGCUGUUUGGGUUUGUUUUGAAGUAGUUAAAAAGACAUCCUUAUGAAUAAAGGGCACAUGUGAGAGAGAAAGGAUGCAGGUAUUUCUGCCUCCUCAGACUGGACGUGAUGCCGUGGAGCCGGGCAGCCUUAAACAUGGCAGGUGGUUUGCGGGGAGGAUAACAAGUGCAGGAAACUGACCUGUUCUUCUGGAGCCAGGAGAGAGGUUGGAAAUACUAGUCUGGGAACCACAUGUGCGUAUAUAAUUAUUAUAACCUUCAAAAAGGUAUGAUCAUUCUGGAAGGACACAUAAGUGCAGAAAAAAAAGGAGUCUAAUUAGCCAAGUAUAUCAUGAAACGCUGAGAAUGCAAAUGAUCAUGAUAAUUAUGACCACUGCUGAAGCACUUCGCUAUGAGCCAGGCAGGCUCUGAGCUAAAUGCUUCAAGUGUGUCAGUUUAAUCCUCAGGAUAACCCCUUUGGUGGAUACCAUUAAUCCAAUUUUACUGAAGAGAAAACAGGCUUAGUGGAUGACAGAGCUGGGAUUUGAACCGAGGUCUGCUGCUGCUAAGUCGCUUCAGUCGUGUCCGACUCUGUGCGGCCCCCUAGACGGCAGCCCGCCAGGCUCCCCCGUCCCUGGGAUUCUCUAGGCAAGAACACUGGAGUGGGUUGCCAUUUCCUUCUCCAGUGCAUGAAAGUGAAAAGUGAAAGUGAAGUCGCUCAGUCGUGUCCGACUCUUAGCGACCCCGUGGACUGUAGCCUACCAGGCUUCUGUCCAUGGGAUUUUCCAGGCAAGAGUACUAGAGUGGGGUGCCAUUGCCUUCUCCGAACCGAGGUCUGAUCGACUUCAAAGUCUAUGUUUCUAAUCUUUACUCCAUAAGUCUAAGCAUAGCUUUUGGGGGUUUUCUAAACUUAUUUUUAAUUGGAGGAUAGUUUCUUUACAAUGUUGUGCUGUUUUCUGCUGUACAACAACAUGAAUCAGCUAUGAGAAUACAUAUAUCUCCUCCCUUUCGUGUCUCCCUCCCACCCCCAUCCCCUAGUGUUGUAUUUUUUUUUCCCUUAACUUUUGGGUGCAGGCAUAUAGAGUUAUCCAAACUCGUCAAACUGUAGACUUGAAAUGGGUAUGUUUUGUUAUAUGUAAAUUACACGUCCAUGAAACUGGUCUAAGGGCUUCCCUGGUGGCUCAGUAGUAAGGAAUCCACCUGCCAACGCAGGAGACACAGGUUCAGUCCCUGGUCCGGGAAGGUCCCCUGCAGAAGGAAAUGGCAACCCACUCCAGUACUCUUGCCUGGAAAACCCCAUGGACACAGGAGCCUGGUGGGCUACAGUCCAUGGGGUUGCAAAAAGUUGGACACAACUUAAUGACCAAACAACAACAACAACAAGAUCUAAAAAAAUAGAAAUGUGAUUCCAGAGCUUUCAUUGUGCAUGCCUCAGGGGUCAAUAACUAGUUGUUAACAGGACAGAAUAUAAACUUAAAAUGUUAGCAAGUGAUAAAGGUUAGAACUGAAGGAAGAUUUUUGUAAUUCCCCACCCCCACCCAGUCUGAGUUAGAAAUAAGAAGUCUUACCGUCACACUCAAAAAAAUACAAAAACUCGUGGAUGAAAUAAAGCUAUUAGGUUAUACUAUAGGAGUCUCAAGGUACCCUAUUCUGAAGGUUAAGAUACUCUAAGUCAGGGCUGCUCAACUGCAAGACUCAAGACUUUGGAGUGCUGUUGACAUUUUAGACCAGAGGCUUCUUGCAGACCAGGUGCUGGUGGGGGAGCUGUCCUGUGCCUUGUAGAAUCCUUAGGCAGCCACUCUGGCCUCUACCUGCCAGAUGCCGGGAGCAAUUCCAUUCUCAGUUGUGACAACCAGUCACAGAUACCCCUCGGGGGGCUAAAUCGCCCAGAUGAGAGCCACGUGGUUAGCACAUCACUUGGUGGUGGAGUCUCCCCGUGGGCUACAACAUCGCGUCCACUGGGCCCAUCGCAGGUGCGGGCAUCCCUAGGUCACUUUCUGGCCCCCUGAGCUCUUUGCACUUGCUCUCCUGGGAGGGAUAGAGUUUCCUCCUUGGCAGGACGCAUCUACUGCUGUGCCCUAUCCAUCUUCUCCCUGCACUGAUCUGGUGGUUAGAUACCGUUUCUUCAUCUGCACCUCCAGGAGCGACGGCUGUCCCCUCUGCUGUCCCCUUGAACCCUCCUCCACUGCACACACUGCAGAGCCCAAGUGGUCGCCCCUUCCACGGUGUAAAGAGCCAUGGUCUGCUGGUGGAUGGGGCAAUGCCCCUUCUCCCAAAGAGCCCCCUGUCCCCCACUUCAGAAUGGCAACGGAAGGCAAAUCUUCCAUCCAUCACUGGAAGGGUGGGCUUGGGGCAGGCCUCUUUCGAAGCAGUGAUUGAGGGCGGCAAGGUUGGGUGGGCAGCCUUCUACUCUUUUCUUGGGAAGGAGGUAGAUAAUCCCCACACUGACCCCAGAAGGGAAUUCUAGAAGUUGACUUUCCUUCCCACUCCGGGUGUAUGGCUUUGCCUCAGUACAAAGUUCCUGCUAGGAGCUGUCUUGUUUCUCUUGUCUUGGGACCUGCUAGGUGGGAAAAGUGAAAGUCGCUCAGACGUGUCUGACUCUUUGCAACCCCAUGGACUAUACAGUCUAUGGAAUUCUUUAGGCCAGAAUACUGGAGUGAAUAGCCUUUCCCUUCUCCAGGGGAUCUUCCCAACCCAGGGAUCAAACCCAAGUCUUCCACAUUGCAGGUGGAUUCUUUACCAACUGAGCUAGGUGGAAAAAGAAGAAAAACGAAGGAGAGGAGAACUUUUCCCCACAGACCUUACCACUCACCCAGCCCCCACCUCAAAAUAAAGCAGGGCGGCAUCCUCCAGUUUUCAGAUUUCCUUAUGUCUAAGAAGACCAACCAUGACAAUUUUAUGACCCAAAUGCAAGGAUGCAUUUUUUGGUUAUUAAAUGAGCCAAGUGAUUUCAUAUCUGAAUGGGCAGUGAAAUAAGUAAUAUAUGUAUAUUUAAAAUUUUCCCUCUGUUUCUAAUUUUCCCGGAAAGUCUCCCUCAUGACUCUGAAAUCUCUGGAAUGUGUACAUCUCGCCAUUCCACCCAUCCCUGGGCUUUAAGGCAGGAAUGUCAAACACAAUCAGCAUAAGGUCACCACUUGGUCAGUGGAAAUUUUUGAAAUGGUGGUGACACCAUCUCUGGUGCCUCCAGCCUGCUAUUUCUGGCUGCCAGCCAUUUUUGGUGGCAAAAGACUGCCCUGGGGUGGUGGCAGAGGCCAGUGGGUGGCCUGGAUGAGUCCCCAGGCAACAGGCUCCUCACUUCAUCCUGAGGGCAAUUCAGAGAUGGCAGAGGAACAAUGGAAGCUAGACCCUCCGGAUGGGCUGCCCCUCUGAAGGGGCAUCUAUUGGGGCACCUGAGUAUGACUAGCAAGAGGCUCUUAACUCUUUGUGCCUAAAACGGUAGAGGCGCCUCGAGGGAAAAACCAGGCAUUAGGGAGUGUGAGUUAUUGUGAGAGUCCCUUGGACAGCAAGGAGAUCCAACCAGCCGGUCCUAAAGGAAAUCAGUCCUGAAUAUUCGUUGGAAGGACUGAUGCUGAAGCUGAAACUCCAAUGCUUUGGCCACCUGAUGCGAAGAACUAACUGACUCCUUAGAAAUGACCCUGAUGCUGGAAAAGAUUGAAGGCAGGAGGAGAAGGGGACGACAGAGGAUGAGAUGGUUGGAUAGUAUCACUGACUCAAUGGACAUGAGUUUGAGUAAACUCCGGAAGCUGGUGAUGGGCAGGGAGGCCUGGUGUGUGCUGCAGUCCAUGGGGUCGCAAAGAGUCGCACACGACUGAGCAACUGAACUGAACUGAACUGAACUGAAAAAAAGACCAGAACCGCUCGCUCUCCAUCAUGUGAAGACACAGUAAGAAGAUGACUAGCUGGCUGCAGGCCAGUAAGAGGCCUCUCACCAGGAAUGGACUCGGCCAGCACCUUCAUCUUGGACUUCCCAGCCUCCAUACACAUCUGUUGUCUAAGCUAUCCAGUCUAUGGUGUUUUGUUAUGGCAGCCCAUGCUAAGAUACCAGAACACUUUGGGGCACAAUUAGAGAAAUAUACAUAUAGCCUGGAUAUUAGAUAAGAUAAAACCUAUUGACAUGAGGAAGUAGAGACCAUUAACAGAAAAUGGCAGCUUUCAAAACAUCAGGUGCAAGAUAAUCUCGUUUUGUUAAAAAACAUAUAUGCAUAGGAAAAGUUCUGCAAUGUUACACAGGAAGCUGUGAAAUGGUAACCUCUGGGUGAUGGAAAUACGGUGUUUAUUUUUUCUUUUCAGUAUUUGGUAACUUUCUACAAUGCAUAUAUAUUGCUUUGUAAAAAUAAAAGGUUAUUUUAAAUUAGACAGGGAGUGUGACCUGGGAGGGACUUCCUAGACUAUGUACUCACAACCCUCAUUUUUUUUCAAAGGAGGAAAAUUUUUGACUCAUCACACUGACUUUUAAAAACACAACACUUUUUAUUGUGGAAAAUUUCAAAGAGACUCAAGCAUAGACAAAACAUUCUACCAGCCUCAACAAUGAUCAACUCAUGGCCAUGCUUGUUUCAUCUACCGCCCCUCCCCCAUACUUUCUCCUUUCCCUUUUUAUUUUGAAGCCAAUUCCAGACCUCACAUAAUUUAUCUCAUUAAUAUUGCUGUACUGUCUCUUUAAGGACUCAAAAAUAUACAACCACAAUACAUUAUCACACCUAAAAAAAAAAAAUUCCUUAAUAUGAUCAAGUAGCCAGCCAGUGGUCAUAAUACCGAUUGUCUCAUAAAUCCAAGAAAUCAAUUUUUAAAAGUUUAUUUGAUUGAAUCAGGAUCCAAAUAAGGUCUGUAAAUUGUAAUGGACAAUAUCUUUGUCUUUGAAUCUAUGGGUUCUUUCUCCAUCUCUGUGUUUUCCCUGGAGGAAGAUUUGUGGAAGAAUCCAGGUGGUUUGCCCUGAGGUGUUUCCCACAGUCCAGCUUUUGUUGAUGGUAGCCCCUGAUAUUCAAUGCGUUCCUCUCUCCUCUGUAUUUCCUGUAACUGGUAGUGGCAUCUUGAGGCUUGAUCAUAGUCCUUGGUUCGAUGUUGGAGGGGCAGAACACCUCAUAGGUGGUGGUGCCUUCUUCUAACAGGACAUAGAGAAUGUCUGAUUGUCUCCUGUAAUGUGUGUGAUGUAUGGUGUUAGUUGUUAAAACUCAAUGCCUGGAUCCAUUCCUUCAUGGUGAUACUCCAAUUCUUCAAUUCUGUCUUCAUUUAUUAGCUGGAAUAGUCCCCCCCCAAAAAAACUCCUCUUCAGUGGCAUCAUGGAGGCAGACAGAUGCUUGACUUUUCCCUUUACUAACAAGUUUUCAAAAUAACCAAGUGAUGCUCUGGCGUCGUCCACAGGUGAGCAAUUUCUUGGUCAUUACUCAUGAAUGAACUCAUGAGUUUAACCAUAUUCAUCUUUCAGUCUUUCACAGUUCUUACCCUUCUUGCUGCUCAAAUUAUUCCAUCCUUUGGCCACUGGGAAUCUAUUCAGGUUUGCUCCUGAGUCUUUUUGACAUGAUCCUAGUAAUCUUUGAUAGAAAUCUCCCUUCAGAGUUGAAAUAUGAUCUCAGUGGGCAAAAUGGGCCAUGAAAAAUAAGGCAGGGUAUUAUUUCUGAGGCCUUAUUUUUCCCCUCCCCUUUGGUUCGAAAGCAUUGAAGGUCUCCCCCACUCAGCUCCUGUCUCCUUGACUCCAAUGUUCCAGAGCCCUCUCACCUUUGACUGUGCUGCCCAAGAGUUCCCUGCUUUGCUGGUGUUUCAAAAGUGGGAAGUCAGCAUUGGAAGUGCCUUAGUGACCCCAGAAAGGGAUGUGGAGUCCCAGGUGAGUUUAACAGGCGUCAUGUAGGCAGGUGGAGAAGGAAAUGGCAACCCACUCCAAUAUUCUUGCCUGGAGAAUUCCAUGAAUAGAGGAGCCUGGCAGUCCAUGGGGUCUCAAAGAGUCGGACACAACUGAAUGACUAACACACACAUGCAGGCAGGGCUGGGUCCAGGCUGACCUCGCAGGGGAUAAUCAUUCCUCCAGCCGCUUUGUGAGGUUUAUAAUUCCAGUACACCCUGUUCUUUCCACUUCUAACUCUUUGCAGGCCUCUGAUCUUGCAGAAGGGUUGCGUGCAUGCUCAGUCAUAGUGGACUUCACUGUUUGUGACCCCAUGGACUAUAGCCCGCCAGGCCCCUCUGUCCAUGGGAUCCUCUGGGCAAGAAUGCUGGAGUGGGUUGCCAUUUCCUCCUCUAGGGGAUCUUCCCAACCCAGGGAUGGAACCGCGUCUCCCGCAUCUUCUGCACUGGCAGGCAGGUUCUUUACCGCUGAGCCACCUGGGAAGCCCAGAAAGGCUGUGUAGCCCUGGCUCAAGUCAGCCUCAGCAGCCCACCUUUGACUGAGCCCCUCAUACCCCGACUCUGUCCAGUCCUGCCUCUCACUUCAGGUUCUAGCUUCUUUCUCAUCUCCCUCAGCUCCGUCUCUAUCUCUAUGCAUCUGUCUUCAUCCUCAAAGGAGACCCUGCGCUUUCUUAUUCAAUCUCAACAACCCUCUCUAAUUGUUCCCAUUCUAUAGAUGAGGAAAGUGGGAAACUUAGAUGUUCGUGCUGACCUGGGAUCUAAGCCAUAUGUGCCAGGUCCACAGCCACUGACACCUCGUGCCUGCUCUGCCUCUUGGUGCUGAGCACUACUUACUUUUCUUUUUUAAAAAUAAUAUCUCUGAUUUUGGAGUGAAGACAUACACAUAAAAAUACAAGCAGUAUAAAUUUUAUUAUUUUUUUGAAAGUAAAAUUAAGUCCCUUCUCUUCUCAGACCUCAAAAUUAUCACCAUCAACCAUUUGGUAUAUUUCCUUCCAGACUUACAUAAAUAUUUGCAAAUAAAUGACUUUUAAAAAAUGUGCUUUCUUUGUACUUUUCUGCACAUUGCUUUAUUCACUUAUUAAUGUAUUGGGAACAGCUUCUUGUGUUUAGAACAUCUAUAUUUCCUGCAAUCUAUUUAACAGCAUCAGCUUUCCAUUGUUAACAAAAAUCAUUUAGUUAGUGCCAUACCGGUGAACUUUGGGGUUGUUUCCCAUUUUUCAUUAUUUCAAACAAUGCUGCAAUUAGCACCUUUGUGCAUUUAGCUUUGCACACUUGUCUAAGUAUUUCCGUAGGAUAAAUUCCUGGAAAUGGAAUUUCUGAGUCAAAACCAUGCACAUUUAAAAUUUUCACAAAUAUUUUUAAACUGACCUCCAGAGUCUAUAUUAGUUUACAUUUACACAAUGAAUGUCUGUUUUCUGCAUACUUGCCAGACUGAUGCUGUGAAUCUUUUUCAGUUUUGUCUGAUAGGUGACCAGUAUUUUAUUAUUGUUUUAUCUUGCAUUACUUAUUGUUAAGGUUGAACACGUUUGUUGGUAAUUUCUCUUUCUUGGGUGGAUUAUCUAUUCACAUCCUUUGUUCACCUUUGUUGGGGUUGUUUUUUCUCUUAUCAGCUCACAAAUGUUUCUUAUAUAUCAUAUCAAUCUUUUUCAUAUGUGUUAGAAAUAGUUUCCUGGUUUAUGUUUGUAGUUUGACUUUGCCAUAUAGAAGUUUUAGCUGUGAAUGAAAUCAAACUUACAAGCCUUUUGGUUUAUUUGUUGCUUUAAAAAAAAUUUUUAUUGGAGUAUAGUUAAUUUACAUGUUACUGGUCUUCAUAUCAUUUUAGAAGGGCCUCCUCCCUCCCAAGGUUGUAAGAACGUUCACCCACUUUUCCCUUUUAAUAAUUUGCUUUUACAUUUAAGUCUUUUGAUGUAAUGAAUGGAAUAGAAAUCCAGCUUCCCACACUCUCCCUGGACUAAUUAGUUAACAAUUCUCAAAUAAUCUUUUCCCUACCAUUCAAGUGCUACCUUUAUCAGAUACAGCUAAAUUCCGGUGUGCAUUUCCUGCUCUUUCUGAAGUCUUCUGAUAGAUCAUGCCAGUCCUGUGCCAGUCCCAGCUCACAUGCUUUCAAUAUAUGGUAGGCCAGGUCCCCCCAUUACUCAUCUAUUCAGAAAGUUCACUGAACAUUUUCAUUUUUCUCCUUAUCAUUCUGGAUGAACUUUUGAACUAUUUUGUCAAUUUCCCAAAUUAUCCUUUGGGGAUUUAGAGACUGCAUCAAAAUCCAUCUAGUCAAGGCUAUGGUUUUUCCAGUAGUCAUGUAUGGAUGUGAGAGUUGGACUGUGAAGAAAGCUGAGCACUGAAGAACUGAUGCUUUUGAACUGUGGUGCUGGAGAAGACUCUUGAGAGUCCCUUGGACUGCAAGGAGAUCCAACCAGUCCUUUCUAAAGGAGAUCAGUUCUGGGUGCUCUUUGGAAGGAAAGAUGCUAAAGCUGAAACUUCAGUACUUUGGCCACCUCAUGCAAAGAGUUGACUCAUUGGAAAAGACUCUGAUGCUGGGAGGAAUUGGGGGCAGGAGGAGAAGGGGAUGACAGAGGAUGAGGUGGCUGGAUGGCAUCACUGACUCGAUGGAUAUGAGUCUGAGUGAACUCUGGGAGUUGGUGAUGGACAGGGAGGCCUGGCGUGCUGCAAUUCAUGGGGUCGCAAAGAGUCAGACAUGACUCUUCGACUGAACUGAACUGAGGGAAAACUUACAUCUUUUACCUUAUGGUUUGGUAAUAACUAGUAAUAAGAACUAGUUAUUAUGCUGUAGAACUAGUUAUUACUCUGUUUAUUCAAGUCUUCCUUGGUUGAGUAACUCAAAAGACUUUAUAGUUUUUUAUUGAUUAAUCAAAUAGAGGUCCUGUACUCUUAUUAAAAUUACUCUUACUAUUUUAUGAUUCCAGUUGCUCUUAUAAAUGAGAUAAUUCCUUCCAUUAAAUUCCUAACUAUUAGAAAGCUAUUGGAAAUCCUGCCAUUUUUGAUAACAUGGAUGGAUCUCGAAGGCCUGAUGCUAAGUUAAAUAAGAAAUAUAGAGAAAGGCAAAUACUGUACACUCUCACUUAUAUGUAGAAUCUGAAAAAAAAAAAAGAAAACCAAACUCAUAGAUACAGAGAAUAGGUUGAGGGUU
ensembl:lncRNA